UACGUAGGGGGCGAGCGUUGUCCGGAUUUACUGGGCGUAAAGCGUCCGUAGGCGGUUCGCUCAGUCCGGUGUGAAAGCUCCCCGCUCAACGGGGAGAGGUCAUCGGAUACUGGCGAGCUGGAGGGCAGCAGAGGCAGACGGAAUUCCCGGAGUAGUGGUGAUAUGCGUAGAGACCGGGAGGAACACCGGUGGCGAAGGCGGUCUGCUGGGCUGUCCCUGACGCUGAGGGACGAAAGCGUGGGGAGCGAACCGG
rnacentral:rRNA from 1 species